UACGGAGGGUGCGAGCGUUGUCCGGAAUCACUGGGCGUAAAGGGCGCGUAGGUGGCGCGGGAAGUCAACGGUGAAAGUUCGGGGCUCAACCCUGAAUCGGCCGUCGAUACUCCCGGGCUCGAGCACUGUAGAGGCAGAUGGAAUUCCGGGUGUAGCGGUGGAAUGCGUAGAGAUCCGGAAGAACACCGGUGGCGAAGGCGGCCUGCUGGGCAGUGAGCUGACGCUGAGGCGCGACAGCGUGGGGGAGCAAACAGGG
rnacentral:rRNA from 1 species